GUUUAACAGAGUGGCUGUACAGUUUUGCAUUCCAGGAAUGGGUCAGAGUUUCAGCUGCUCUACAUCCUCACCAACACGUGGCAUUGAUGAAGAUGUUUUGCAAUAACUGGAACAUUCCAACCACCAGACCAGAAAAGCCCUGAUAGCAAUGGAAUGCCUAGAAGACUGCGCCCUGCACAUCCCAUUCCCUGCCCAUGAUCAGGGGCUGAACACUUAUUGACUGACACCUAUGAUAACUGCUCUCUUGCCCAGACCCCACUGAACCUCUCCUGUAAAAUUCUAGGUGCCCAUCUUGCUGGGAGAGAGGUCAGAUGUUAAGGUUUGAGCCUGCCACUUCCUCCAGAUGCUGGCACCCAAAAUAAAUUUCUCCCCCCUUUUUUUUCCAAA